UCCUACAGUAUAUUUCAACUAAGUAAUUAUCAAGUACCUGUCUGGUGAUCGUCUUGACCAACGUCUUCUGUCAGAUUCUGUCCAAGGCAGUGCACAUGAACAGGAGGAGCACCACAGGAUCCCUCACCUGCGACCAGGAGGUGCCCUUGACAAGGCAAUCGUCCAGAUAGGGGAAUAUCUGGACCUCCCGCCACCUGAGAGCUUUCCCAUCAAACAGGAGAUCCUGCAUGGAAGACUGAGCCUCGCUGGACAGCCCAGAGAGAAGAAGCCAUGACGCCCAUCUCAUGGACACCGUGGAGGCCAUUGAUAGUGUGGCCAUGGCCGCAGCAUCCGAAGCUGCCUGCAGGGACGCCCUAGCGGCCGCUGUCCUUUCCUCUACUAAUGCCUUAAACUCCUUCCUAUCAUGUUUCUGGAGGGAGUCCUCAAACUUAGGCAGGGAGCCCCACUAAUGGCAUUCGUACUGGCCCAGGAGAGCCUGAUGGUUCGCCACUUAUAACUGGAAGCUCAAAGAUGAAUAAAUUUUCCUACCGAACGAGUCCAGUCUCUGAGAGUCUUUGUUCUUUGGAGUAAGGGCUGGCUGACCCUGCCAAUGCCUAUGGUUGACCAGCUCGACCAUCAAGGAGUUGGGCACCAGGUGAGUAUACAAGUACUCAUACCCUUAGGGGGUACAAAGUACUUAUGUUCCACCUUUUUUGAGAUGGGGGCCAACAAGGCCGGUGUUUGCCACAGGGCAUUAGAAAUCUUAGCCACCCCUUCGUGGAGAGGCAAGGCCAACCUUCCCGCUGCCGACGGGGACAAUAGGUUAAACAGGAAGUCCGAGGGCUCCUCCAUCUCCUCUGCCUGGAGGUGUAGGCUUACUGCCACUCUCUUUAAGGGUUCCUGGGGGGGCCCUGGAGUCCUCCUGCAGGACACAGGGGGACAGGGCCACAAUCGCCUCCUCCGGGAAGGGCAAAGAGGCCGGUGCAGUGCUCUGGGUGUCAGCUGGCACCAGAAGGUCCACCACCUGGUUGGACUCCAGGCAUGGUGCUGAGGACGUAUGUCCCACCAACUCCUUUCUCGGGGGUCUGGAGGGAGGUCGACGGUGCUUCCGAAGCUCCAGCCUUCGAGCAAGGUCCCACCAGGGGCUGCGCCGGAGGCCACAGUGCCCACUGGUACCAUUUGGCCGGCCACGAUGCUCAGUGCCAUUGCAACUGCUGUGGCACUGGCGGGACCAGCUGUCCAGGUUGGCUGGCCCGGAUCAUCAAAGGACGGCCACAGAUGGAAACCAGGCUGGCAUACGAUCCACUGCUGUCCCUGGACCAGGAGGAGCAGCGAUGUCAUGAUCUACGACAGCCACGGGACCAUGAUCUCGACAUAGAGGACUGGUACCAAUGGUAAUAGCUGCUCCACAAACGGCCUCGACAGGUGGACCCAGGACGGCGAGAUGCCAGCGAUCGACACCCGGGGCUGCAAUGUCUUGACGGAGACUUGGAGCGGGAGUCCAAACGGGAACGGCAUCAAUGAAUGUGCCGUGACCGACUGCAGUAUCCUCUCCAAGACGAAGACCGACGGCGAUGCCCACCGCAGUCCCAUCAAUGUUUGCUGCUUGAGGAUGAGCAGUACUGUGAAUCCUGGCCAGAUAAAACCCAGCCCGACAGUCUGGUCGGCGUCGAGGGUGAUCCACCUGGACUCUGACCCAAGCAGAUGCUGGGCGGUGAUCAGCAUCUGUAACGUUCCCUCGACCAAGACCAAUACGGGUCGGAGGCAACUGCGGAGAUCCCAGCAGUAGCCUGCUGCUGGAGCACGGGGCCAACAUCGGCAGCACUCCAGGCACCAGCAUGGAUAUGACAGCCCAGGCUGCCUGAGGGCUUCAGGGGUGGAAGGCAUCCGGACAUCCGGAGAGGCUUGCUCCGAAGAGGCCGGGCUACUCCGCUUAGCUUGAGUCGGAGGCCUGGGGCCUGGUGGGGAUUGAGGACUGCCCAACAUGAAUCUAGCCUCUGGCCCAGCUUUCCCUCAGUGCCGCUGCAAAGAGGGAGUCUUCUUGGGCCCCUUGGUGUGCCCCAUGGACGGGGAGCAUUGCCGACUGGUCAAUGGUACUGGAAAGUUGUCACGUACCAACACCACGGUGCCAGGUACUGGUUCGGAGUGGCAUGCCAGGGUCGGGGUCAGCCCCAACUACAUUAGGAUGACCCAGAGCCUAAUGUCCCUUUCUCUUUUGGUCUAAGGCUUAAACGACUUGCAAAUCUUGCACCUUUCGCUGAUAUGAGUUUCUCCCAAGCAGCGCAAAAAGUCUGUGUGCAGGUCACUUCUUAGCACAGAACGCCUGCAAGAGCCACACGACUUAAACCCCGGGGCACAGGGCAUGCCCCGGGCUCGGGCUCACUGAUUAACUAAACAACUAACUAACUACAGGUACUAACACUGAACGAAGGAACAGUUCUGGGGACAAGCUACAACGAAGCUGGAGCAGAGCAGUUCUAAUGCACCUUCACUGGCAGCAAGAAGGAACUGGGGGGGGGGGAGCGCAGCUCCCCUUAUACCGUGCCAGACAGGUGCCACGCCAAGGGUCGCGGAGGGUGCUCCCCCCCACGGGUACUGCUAGGGGAAAAACUUUCGGCACUGGUGCAUGUGGCGAGCAUACGUCUAUUGUGGAAUACACAUGAGCAAUCACUCGAAGAAGUAACCAUACCUGGGAAAUGGGCUGACCAAUAUGCAGAUAGGUUUUCUAUCAAAUCCAGGUUGACUAAUAGGAAGAGAACAGGAUCAGAGGACAGGAAUCGAACCGAAGCGAAGACCUGCACCCACGGGGGACAGAAACCAAGUUCUCAAAAGCCCUGGAUCAGCAGGAAUAAUGGUGUGCCAUAUGUGGCCAGCAGGGUCACUUCGACCAAGAAUGCUCACAACACCCACUGAGUGACAUUGCAGCGCUGGGAAUGCCAGCUGCACCUCAACCUCAUAGAGUUAGCUGUGUGACUGAACCUCCAGAGGGAGAAAGUCACACAGCCAGUUUGCAAAUGGCAAAAUUCACAAUCCAUAUCAUUGCAAACAUGUCUUGCUGCCACUUCAUAGGUGCAAAUCCAUCCAAUCAACAGUGGCAGCAGAAGGUAGUGGUUAAUGGAGAUAAAUUCACUGUAUAGAGAGAUAUGGGGCCAGCCAGGAUUAUAGUUUAGUCCGAUAUAGUGAAGCCCCAUCAAAUGCUGCCACAGUGUGAAAUGUGGGUUAAGGUUCCUGGUGUGAAUGCCUUCAUUCUACUUACAGCACAAAUUUCUACACAGACCCAGAAAGUGUAAGGUGUAUUUUCAGAUAUUCCAUAUUCGUUGCUUUUAGAAAAUGUUAUAGCGUUGAAAACAGAAAGAGUAAACGACUCUCUUAGUUAGCCUAAGACAGAGAAGACAGUAUGUAAGCAAAAAUGUAAAUAGAAUAGCUAACAAGGGAAGAGGGAGUCACAUUCCCCAUUAGAGUCCAAAACAGAGGUAGGUAAACUAUGGCACAGGUGCCGAAGGCGGCACGCGAGCCAA